CUGAUAGAGGCGCGGCUGACAAGAGUAGGCUCAUGGAAGGGACAGGAAUCCCGGGCCGAAAGGGGAUGCCGCCGAGGCUGUGCAGGAAUUCCUGGUUCUGCAUAUGCCGGGCUGCCGGAGAAUAUCCGGCGGACUGUCGCAGUUUCUGCGGAGCGCUGUCA
rnacentral:ncRNA from 1 species